CACCGCGGUUAUACGAGAGGCCCAAGUUGAUAGACAUCGGCGUAAAGAGUGGUUACGGAUAAUAACUCAUCUAAAGUCGAACGCCCCCCAAACUGUUAUACGCACCCGGGGGUAUGAAGCCCUACCACGAAAGUGACUUUAAUUUUCCCCGAACCCACUACAGCUAUUAAA
rnacentral:rRNA from 1 species